UACGUAGGGGGCAAGCGUUGUCCGGAUUUAUUGGGCGUAAAGAGCGUGUAGGCGGCUUGGAAGGUCAGCUGUGAAAACUCGAGGCUCAACCUCGAGACGUCGGUUGAAACCACCUGGCUAGAGUCCGGAAGAGGAGAGUUGGAAUUCCCGGUGUAGCGGUGAAAUGCGCAGAUAUCGGGAAGAACACCCGUGGCGAAGGCGGCUCUCUGGGACGGUACUGACGCUGAGACGCGAAAGCGUGGGGAGCGAACCGG
rnacentral:rRNA from 1 species